GUUCCGUAUGCAGUGGAAAUUGGGGAUAAGUUACUGUUUGUAUUGUUGAUCAAACAUAUUGCUAGUCUUAGGCUUUAAGUUUUUGAGUCAGUUCAGCUUGUUUAACCCACAUCUGCGACCCACGUUUACUAAUGUCCUUCUUUUUUGUGCUGUUUUCAUUUUGAGGGAUUAGUAUUGAGAAACAACAGCACAUUUACACAGGCAGUCUCAAACAGGAGGCAAGCACUGAGGGGCAAUCCCGGCCUUAGGCACUGGAAAUCACAGCCAUCUUGGCCUGGGUGCCUCACGCAUCCGGCCUCACAACACAACCUCCCACCUAAACAGACUCCAGCAUCACCAGCUGAGUCCAAUCCCUGCCUGCCAGCUGCACCCCUGGGGUAUGCUGCAGAAAUGUGGAGCUGAGGUCACCAAAGUGCUUCCUCUCUCAUUGCUAAAAAUGGAAACUGUCAGUACUGAAACCUGACAUACUCGAGUGUAUGGAGGCACAGUGGGCACGGAGGAUACUCAAUAUUUUCAGAAGUAUUUCAAUCAAACAAUUUGUUCAAAACUAUAUGACCAACAUACUGAGUCCUUCAGAAAAUGAACCCAUAUCUAACCAUAACCCCUAACCCAUAUUUUUAAAAACAAACUAAAGACCUGCUUCAGUCUAGCUUUUCACUGAAUUUUAUUUCUUAUACUAAAUAUUCUCCUUUUUUAUUGACUCUGCAAUUUUACUCUGUUUUAAUAUAAUUUUACUAGUCACCUUUCAAGUUGUAAUUUUUCAACCUUAGUUGUUACCUCUAUUUUAUUGUUUUCAUCAUCCAAUCUUGAGUGUUAACAUUUUAUCCUAUUGCCAGUGUUUUCACAUAAGAUGUUUUUUGGCUCCUGUUUUUAUUCUUACAAAUAAAGUCUGAUAGAUUAUGUCUGAUUGAUAUGAGUUAGAAGACUAUUAACAAGACCGGGUAGUCAAUAACCUGUUAGGGCCCAUAGAAAGACAAACUAGACUAAAAUUAUUUUACAUCUCCAUGUCAGUGCAUCAUAAAUGUCACUGAGGCCUUCACCUAAAGUAGUGACAGAGACAUUGGCAAAAUGGAGUUCAUAUAUAUGUCAGCAGUGCUGCAUGUGUGUUGUCUAUUUACAUAUGAUACAACACAAUGUAAAUUCAUACUUAGAAUUUGUCAUCGUUGGGUUUAUUGUGUCAGUAUGAGGUAACAGUGUCAGAUAAGUUUUAAGAUUGCACUUUGGUUUGAACAUCAGUGUGGAAAGGGCUUAUCGCAAUGUAAUAGUUGCUGAGUGAGGAUAUAAAUAAAAUCUGAGACCCCCCCCUGAUAUUUUUUUUGGCCCAUCUAGCGUGAAAAUAGGUGUUGAUCUGGUCUUGUCAAAUGAAUAUGGCCUGUAUGAAGUUUGAUUAGAAAUAUUUCAGAAGAGAUUAGCCAGAUAAAAAAUGCAAUUCUUAGCUUCAGCACAGCUCACCAUUAGUAAUAGGAAUGUAUUCUCGCAGUCCCUGCAGCAGAUUUUCAAAGAAAGGAUAUAAAAGAUGUUAAAACUGACGAGAGCUGAUGAAAAGAUGAGUCUUGGAUGAUACUUUGAGUAAUGAUGCCAAUGACCUGACUGCCAAAACAAGAAGAAAUAAGGGCUUCAAAUAAUGAUGUGUCAGAAUACAAAUGAGGAAAUGAAACAGAAAUAGCUCUGCUUCAUCCUAUUUUUAUCCCGUUCUUGCCUCCCUUGUCUAAUUUUAGUUAAGUAUUACUCUUGCCAGCUGUCCAGGCACAGGUCUCAUCCAUCUGCACAAGGGCGUUACCAACAGGAACAAUCUCUGCCAUCCAAAUUUGAACACCUGGAUUUAGACACGCGCGGCGUUGGUUGUCAAAGUCAAACCUUUUUGCUCGUUUAGAGGUCGAUUUGAAUCAUUUUACAUAAGGGAGCAGUUGGAGAUAUUUGAGACUUCAUUGUAUUACGAUGUCACUCUAAAACACACCACUGAUAAUGGUGUCAUUGACUUAAUGAGAUGAUUCACCUUCUCUGUACCAGCAGUACAGUAGAUGGUGUGGCAUUAGCCCCGCACUCAGGACACAGGAGAACACUUUGCCAUUCGACUUCAGGGUUCCUUUGCAAAGCAUUUUCUCCUAAUUGGCCAUUUCCAAUCAGAGUGAUUCUCUCUCCUCUUUUCUCCUUCCCAAAAGGCCUGCUUUGUGGGUCAAACACCGGCGUAGAUUUAAGUUUUAAUUAGAAGAAAAUUAAGUGUACUGCAGCUUUAAACAUGACCCUUUAUAUAGCAGAUAUCUGACCAACAGUAUCAUCCCACACUGUGCUGCAGUUUCUCCCACUGAAAGUCAAUCACCUCUACUUUUUUUUAAAGUAAUAAUGGGCUUUUAUUGGACUAGGAACAACCAUGGGCAGGAAGCUCCCACUUAAAAAAUAAUAAUUUUCAAAUAAUUAUCAUUUUGUUUUUGUUUUUUUAAGAUUUGCUGCCUAAAUUAUAUAUUGUAUACAUCAUACUCUUUUCAUGUAUUUUACUGGUCUGGCUUAAACUGUUGGCUACACUGUUCAACAAUGUCUCUGUCUGUAUCUCCAUACAAAUGGACAGAAAAGAUGAAAAGAUGAAAGAGCUUCAGGUUAAACACAGACAAAGACAUAGAGAAACCUUAGGAAAAGUAGUAGUUUGGACCAAUGCACAAUCCCAAUCCUAAAAGAGUUAGGAUGCUGUGUGUAGAAACAGGAUUUGAAGCUUUAGAAGUCAUUUUAGGACUAUAUUUAAUUGAAAGUAGAGCAAAGAUGUGGUUCUGUAAUUUUGUGUAUUGUGGACGUAUUACAACACCAUGGCUCUGGAGGAGGAGAGUCUGGGUUUUAAACGUGCCUGCCUGCAGAUUUUUUAUGAAAUGAAAACAUUUGGUACAUCAAGACACAAAAUACAUGACAAAGGAACUCCAAACAGUUGUGUAAAUGAAAUCAUAUAUCAUUUAGUUUUCAUAACUCCUGAAGCUUUUUCCUCAGCUCCUGAACAUUUUCAGAUUGCUGUUAAAGAAGAGGUGAUGCAGCACAAUGGUACACAUUUUACAUUUGAAACGAGCAUUUUUUUUUUUUAAAUCAAUAGUCUACACAGCGUUCCAGCUCAAGAGGUUGGGGAGUUGUACGACAUUUGUUUCAGUUUUACAGCCCUCAUAUUUGUUAUGUGAAUAAUCUGAGUACCUGUCUCAAAUAGACGUCAUUUUUCAGAGUGUCAGCUCUGACACAGCUGGCACAAACUGGGACAAACCCAAAAUUAGCAACAAGCUGAUUAAAAAAGACAAAAUAUUUUGCCACUAAAAACAUCAAUGGAGCAAACCUGAGAGACAGAGUGAGCAUAAUGAAACUACAUCUCUCAGAUGGGCAAAACACUCUUCAAAUUACUGCCCAAGUCUGUGGAGUUGGAAAAAUAUAUUUAUUUCCUCAGCAGUUUUAUUGCAACUGUAUAGGCUGAAAUAAUGAAAAACUAAAGAUGGUGGAAGCUUUUUGACUUUUUUUUCCCCCUAUGCUGACAAAAAAACAAAGAUUAAAGUGUGUGAAAGAACUUUGUUUUAUUAAGUGAAUGAAUGAUUAUUGAUUAACUACAAAAAAAUUUAAUACUUUAAUAUGCCAUCACGUUUAUAACUGACUGGUAGAACAUAUAAUACAAACUUGAUGCUGAUGAAUGAAAUUAGAUGUUAAAGUGACAUGCAUGCAGUCUAUGGUUGUCCCUAUUUGCUCUGUUUUUACUAAAAGCUGAUGGUAAGAGCAAGAUACUUUUAGAUAAAGAGUAAAGACAGUAUCACCAUUCUGUCAAACUGAACUCACAACAACCAAUGAAAUCUAUAAAUAGUCCAACUACAAAGUCCAUCAACUAAAGUGAGUAUGAUAAGACGAACAGUGCAGCUGAUUACAUCACACUGCAGUAAAUCACGCACUCAUACACACACACACACACACACAGAUAUCUGCACACACACUUCCACUCUCCAUUACCAGUGUAGCAUGACAGCAAAGGAGACGGCAAAUACUGUCAGUGAAUAAAUAGAAAAUGUGACUUUUUAAAAUAUUUGACAUUUAAUAGGUUUAUUUAUUUUAUCAUCCUAUGUACUUCCAUUAUUGUAUUGUCUAUUUUUGUAUGAGUCCAACAAACUUGAGUCAGAUUUCUCAUGUACACGUAAUUGACCAACAUACUUAUUCUUACUCUGAUUCUGACCUAUAAAACGAUGGAAAGAAAAUGAAUGAUGACCGACAAAUACCCAGAAAAGAAAAUCAAAAAUCGCCAA